GAGCAGGAGCGGUGGAAAUAUUGCCACAAAGCCGUGGCCACAAAUUGGCUUGAUCGGUGCCGGCUUGAAGUCAAUUUGCGACGGCUUAGGCCCACGGAUCGUUCGAUCGAUCGAUCGAUUGGCAUCAGUCUGACUCUCAUCUGACUGAAAAUCGGAAAACUGACUUGCCGACUGACGGACUAAAUCUGCCGAGCAAGUACUAAGUACCUGGGGAUGAGGGACAAACGAGCCGCGAAAGUGCUCCACAAAACAUAUGGCACACAAUUAUCCAACUGACAGUGACGAUGUGUUAAGAAAUGCCAAAAUACAAGCGAGUUUUCGAGGUUGAGAACUAGGUGAUACUGUGGAAAUGUUGUUUAGUACUUUAAGUAAAGUAAAGUAAAUGUUCGAUUAACCUUUAUAUAACUAAUAACUAACUAGUUUCAGAAACAAUUAAAUAUGUAGAAACCAAUGCGGCUCACAUUGAAGCCUCCGAAAACCGCGAGAUGCAAUACACCCGCUUGAUACCCUUUCUCCUACAAAAACAAACACCGAAUAAUGGAAUAUGAAAAUGAUGAAGGAAGUUAAUGGAAAAUCUGUGGCACCCAAAGGCCAGGGCCACGGACUGGAAGCGGCAGCCGUGGAUGCAGCAGCAGCGGAUCCCAGGGAACCAGAGGCGGCACAUGGCGCCCCCUGUGCGGCAUUUAUCAUGGGGCCUCCGGAGCACUAUAUUUAGACGACGGGCUAAUGGAUGCAGCAGGGAAAAAUAGAGGCAGAUAGGUACAAUGGGUGAGGGAGCGGGUGGCAGGCAGAUCCGAUCCGAAGCGAACCGAACCGGCACAGGCCACACUUUCAAAUUCAUAUUUAUUGUCUAGGCUGCGGACUGAGUGCAUUUUUAUAUAUGGCAGUCCAUUUGCCGCCGACUCUCCCACCAGCUCCCAAAAACCAAAAU
ensembl:ncRNA lncRNA:CR44739 long non-coding RNA:CR44739